GAUGAACGCUGGCGGCGUGCCUAAUACAUGCAAGUCGAGCGAACGGACGAGAAGCUUGCUUCUCUGAUGUUAGCGGCGGACGGGUGAGUAACACGUGGAUAACCUACCUAUAAGACUGGGAUAACUUCGGGAAACCGGAGCUAAUACCGGAUGAUAUUUUGAACCGCAUGUUUCAAAAGUGAAAGACGGUCUUGCUGUCACUUAUAGAUGGAUCCGCGCUGCAUUAGCUAGUUGGUAAGGUAGCGGCUUACCAAGGCAACGAUGCAUAGCCGACCUGAGAGGGUGAUCGGCCACACUGGAACUGAGACACGGUCCAGACUCCUACGGGAGGCAGCAGUAGGGAAUCUUCCGCAAUGGGCGAAAGCCUGACGGAGCAACGCCGCGUGAGUGAUGAAGGUCUUCGGAUCGUAAAACUCUGUUAUUAGGGAAGAACAUAUGUGUAAGUAACUGUGCACAUCUUGACGGUACCUAAUCAGAAAGCCACGGCUAACUACGUG
rnacentral:rRNA from 1 species